CAGGAACGCUGGCGGCAGGCCUAACACAUGCAAGUCGAGCGAGGACUUCGGUCCUAGCGGCGGACGGGUGAGUAACGCGUGGGAACGUGCCCUUUGCUACGGAAUAGCCCUGGGAAACUGGGAGUAAUACCGUAUGUGCCCGAGAGGGGAAAGAUUUAUCGGCAAAGGAUCGGCCCGCGUUGGAUUAGGUAGUUGGUGGGGUAAUGGCCUACCAAGCCGACGAUCCAUAGCUGGUUUGAGAGGAUGAUCAGCCACACUGGGACUGAGACACGGCCCAGACUCCUACGGGAGGCAGCAGUGGGGAAUCUUAGGCAAUGGGCGCAAGCCUGAUCUAGCCAUGCCGCGUGAGCGAUGAGGGCCUUAGGGUUGUAAAGCUCUUUCAGUGGGGAAGAUAAUGACGGUACCCACAGAAGAAGCCCCGGCUAACUCCGUGCCAGCCGCCGCCGUAACAC
rnacentral:rRNA from 1 species